UAACCUGCCCAAGAGAUCGGGAUAACACCUGGAAACAGAUGCUAAUACCGGAUAACAACAGAUGAUGCCUAUCAACUGUUUAAAAGAUGGUUCUGCUAUCACUCUUGGAUGGACCUGCGGUGCAUUAGCUAGUUGGUAGGGUAACGGCCUACCAAGGCGAUGAUGCAUAGCCGAGUUGAGAGACUGAUCGGCCACAUUGGGACUGAGACGACGGCCCAAACUCCUACGGGAGGCAGCAGCG
rnacentral:rRNA from 1 species